rnacentral:sRNA from 1 species
GCUGGGUGUGGUGGUGCAUACCUGUAAUCCCAACCACUCAGGAGGCUGAAGCAGGAGGAUUUCAAGUAUGAGGACAGCCUCAGACAUUUAAAGAAACCUACUCU